UUUGGACACUGAUUUUCUUUUUUUUCCUUUUUUUCUUCUUUCCUUUUUUUCUGAGCUUUAAAAGCUUGAGAAAACUAAAGCAAACCUAUGAAAGACAGCAUUUAUAUUUACAGGAUCUGGGGGUUGAUCAGCUUACCCACUGCAGUUUUCUAUCUGUCCCUUGUUUCCUUACUUAGCCAAAAGAAUGUGAGUGUACAGAAAUAUUUCUGUAUAUAUUACAACUUGUGACAAUUUUAGCAUCUGUAUAGUUUGUAUUCAAUUAGAGACCUUUUCUAUGGAAAGCUCAGUAAUUUUUUAUUAAAAAGAUUACUAUUGUUCAUGUAAAACAUGAAAAAGCUAAUUGUUUAGUAACAAACUGACAGAAAGGGGAAAAAAAAUUCAGUACCAGUAUAUCAUUUAGGAGAACCAACAGAAAUCCCAGUUUCGUUUUGGUUUCGCUUUUCCUUUUUUUUAGUGAAGUUCUUGCCCUUUACCGUUCUCUUCCUCUUUCCUUCCCAGAAAAACAGACAGGAUACCUUUACUGUAAGUGCCUCUGCCAACCUGGCCAAGGAGCGCAAAUCUUCGUUACUGUCUGGUCUGCAGUGCAUUUAGGCCACCAAUGAACCAAGCAAAAAAGCCACCUCUUCUACUUCAUCCUCUUUAGUCCUACUUUAACGGAGGUUUGGUUGGUUUUUCUUCUGGAAACGUGAGCGUAAGCCUUUGAACGCAUUUCAGUCCCUCUGUCAUUCAAACUUCCGCAGCUGGCCUAUCAAAUCCGAAUCACACCGUAGGUUUGUGCUUGCCAGACAGGUUUAAAAAGUGCUUAAUUUCUCACGCCAUGUAAGUCGUUACAAUAGGGUCAACCAAUCAGGUCAGCCAUUUCUACCGUGUCCUUCAGAAACUGUUCAUUUCACGUCGGUUGAAUAUUCAGUCUUGAGCAUCACCAAGCAGGUCCUUGUUUGGAAACUAUUUUUUAAACUGUCUUAUGAUCUGUAUGUGUCUAGUCCUGGUUGAAGAUAAAGCUUCAUAAUGCUAUUUUUAUUCAUGAUGUUAGCCGGCUGUAAAAUACGAGACCUUUAUCUAUAGCAGGCAAAGAAAUUCAGGAUUCAUUUACAGGUUGCCUAUAAAGUUGUGUAAUUUGAAAAGCAGUGUUCAUUAUGAAAGAGCUCUCAAGUUGCUUGUAAAGCUAAUCUAAUUAAAAAAGAUGAUGUAUAAAGGUUCUUGAAA